AGUGAACGCUGGCGGUAGGCCUAACACAUGCAAGUCGAACGGCAGCACAGUAAGAGCUUGCUCUUACGGGUGGCGAGUGGCGGACGGGUGAGGAAUACAUCGGAAUCUACUUUUUCGUGGGGGAUAACGUAGGGAAACUUACGCUAAUACCGCAUACGACCUACGGGUGAAAGCAGGGGAUCUUCGGACCUUGCGCGAUUGAAUGAGCCGAUGUCGGAUUAGCUAGUUGGCGGGGUAAAGGCCCACCAAGGCGACGAUCCGUAGCUGGUCUGAGAGGAUGAUCAGCAAAACUGGAACUGAGACACGGUCCAGACUCCUACGGGAGGCAGCAGUGGGGAAUAUUGGAAAAUGGGCGAAGGCCUGAUCCAGACAUACCGCGUGGGUGAAGAAGGCCUUCGGGUUGUAAAGCCCUUUUGUUGGGAAAGAAAAGCAGCAGGUUAAUACCCCGCUGUUCUGACGGUACCAAAAGAAUAAGCACCGGCUAACUUCGU
rnacentral:rRNA from 1 species